UUUUUUCCUUGCUACAAUUUUUUCUACUUCCCGUGCCUAAACAAUAGGCAUAAAGAAGAGAGCAUUUAUUUUGUUCCUUCUUGCAGAUGCACUAGUGUGUGUGUGCUCUAGUGUGUUGGUUGUGUGUGUAUGUGAGCACUUGGUGAAGUGUAUGUGUGGUGGUGGUGCUAUCUUAGUGCAUGCUUGUAGAUGUACUAGUGUGUGCAUAUGUGAGGUAAUAUACAUGUGGUUGUGCUUGUAGAUUGUGG
rnacentral:lncRNA from 1 species